AUUGAACGCUGGCGGCAGGCCUAACACAUGCAAGUCGAGCGGAUGAAGGGAGCUUGCUCCUGGAUUCAGCGGCGGACGGGUGGGUAAUGCAUAGGAAUCUGCCUUGUCUUGGGGGAUAACGUCCGGACACGGGCGCUAAUACCGCAUACGUCCUGAGGUAGAACGUGGGGGAUCUUCGGACCUCACGCUAUCAGAUGAGCCUAGGUCGGAUUAGCUAGUUGGUGGGGUAAAGGCCUACCAAGGCGACGAUCCGUAACUGGUCUGAGAGGAUGACCAGUCACACUGGAACUGAGACACGGUCCAGACUCCUACGGGAGGCAGCAGUGGGGAAUAUUGGACAAUGGGCGAAAGCCUGAUCCAGCCAUGCCGCGUGUGUGAAGAAGGUCUUCGGAUUGUAAAGCACUUUAAGUUGGGAGGAAGGGCAGUAAGUUAAUACCUUGCUGUUUUGACGUUACCAACAGAAUAAGCACCGGCUAACUUCGUG
rnacentral:rRNA from 1 species